GCUGUUUAUAUUACCCGUCCACUUGUCCGCUUCAUUUAAUUCAAAUCGGUCAACUGUAUUAGUAGCUAGCUAGCAGAGUGUAUCUUUUUUCCCCUCGAAUCGAAGUUAAUAGCGACAAUUUUUAAUUUGGUGCGUAUGUAUCAGUGCCCACGCUAGUGGAAUUGUUGAGGUCAAACGGAAGCAUCUUUUCACGUUCUCUUACUUUUGAUCUAAAUAACAAUACAGAUCAGGUGCACCGCUAAAAACAACCCAGCCUGCUCCGGCGAGGUGAAGACGGUGAUGAUCACGGACAUGAACUACUACCCGGUGGCGAGGUACCACUUCGACCUGAGCGGCACGGCGUUCGGGUCCAUGGCGAGGCCGGGGCUCAACGACAAGCUCCGGCACGCGGGCAUCAUCGACAUCCAGUUCAGGAGGGUGGCCUGCAACAACCGGGGGCUCACCGUCAACUUCCACGUGCAGGCCGGCUCCAACCCCAACUACCUGGCGGUGCUGGUGGAGUACGCCAACAAGGCCGGCACCGUGGUGCAGAUGGACGCCAUGGAGGCCAACUCCGGCCACUGGAUGCCCAUGCGCCGCUCCUGGGGGUCCGUCUGGCGGCUCGACUCCUACCGCGCGCUCAGGGGCCCCUUCUCCAUGCGCAUCCGCAGCGAGAACGGCAGGACGCUGGUGGCCAACAAUGUCAUCCCGGCAAACUGGAGGGCCAACACCGACUACCGCUCCUACGUCCAGUUCACUUAAGCGACCACAUAAUUAUUAACCCAUCAUCAUCACUGGUAUAUAUGAUUAAUCAUAUACAAGGUGGUGCUAAGGUUGGUUAUUUAUUUGGGAGUAGUAGAGUGUAUUGUGUGAUUAUUGCAAAUUCUUUUUGGUUUUUGCAAUGGGUUCGGCGAGUUUUUCCGUGUUGUCAUUGUGUGUAUCUGAGGCGCGUCGGAAAUGGAGGAGGCAAAGUGUUAUACAUACAUGUUGUCUCCCGCCUACCGUCCAAACUCCAAUGUUUGUACAACAAGUAGGUACGGUGCAUACAAUGUGUGACCAAAUCAGGGGGGCUAUGUAUGCAUCAAGUCAUGGUCAGCAAAUACAUUUCUGAUUAUUCCAGUAUAUGUGUAUUUUUUUUAAAAAAAAAAUCCAAGGCCAUUACGUCGUCCCAGCUUAUAUUGAAAACUUAUAUGAGUGUACGAUGACUGGGUAUACCAGUUUGACGAUAAUGAUACAUCAAGCGCAGCUAAACGUGUGGAAACAUCAAUUCUACCUCUACUCAACAAUAAUAAAACAUCUAGAGGCCACCCAUUGCAACAAAAAAAUAAAAGGCUAAACUCAGAUGAGAUAAAAGGUUAUCCCCCACCCCCAGGUUUUAAACCAAUAAAAAACUUGACGCAUUUAGAUUUCCUUCACCUCAUCAACAACUCGCAUUACGAAUUUAGGAUCUCCUCCACCAGUGCAGCUUUUUUUAUCCUUCAAGGCCACCCUACAUUGAUUGAUCAUCAUCUUGCCCUGAAAUCGCCUCCCUGGGUACUUGAGCAGCUUGUCCUCCAAAGGUCACAUCGUUCCUCAUCUUCGAGAGCGCCCAUAUCAUACCUCCACAACAAAUAAAGUAAUUUUCCAUUAAGGAUUUCCGUUUUAGAGUCGGUUCCGUUAAGAAAACCACAUCUAAAUAUGUUAUUUUCAAGGACUGUUGGUUAUGUCAACUGUCCCUAGCUAAAAAUGAGUAAUUUUUAGAGGCGGUUCUUUUAAGACAACUACAACUAAAAAUCAAUUUUCAAAGACAGUUAACUAAGUCAACCAUCCUUAAAAAUAGCAGCCGCACAAAUAAAUUCAUAUCUUUUUAAAAUGAAGUCAAAUGAAUACAAAAUUUAUAUCAAAAUUAUAGAGCUUGACGAGAUCUAAAACUUUGUAGACGAUAAAAUUUUUGUUUCAGAGCACUUAUGGUUCCAAAAUUUUAAAUUAAGUCUCAGAGUUUUUCAUUUUAAUUUUUAAAAUGUUUCAAACGACCUUGGAUGGGGAAAUGUCCUAUAUGAAACUCUCAAUGAGAUUUUUAAAACUUUAUAGUUGAAAAUUUUCCCAUUUAAGGUUGUUUAAUAGCCUAAAUAUUGAUUACAAGAUCCAUACGUAUUAGUACAAAUGGAUAGCAAUGUAUAUCUCGACAUAAGUGACUAUGAAUGAACCAUGUAAGGUUACGAGUUUAAAUCCUAAUUCUUGCACUAUAUCAUAAGAUGGUGAAAAUCAAAUUCAAUAAGUGGUUGGUUGGUCUUCUUGGCCUUUAGCCACACUAAAUAUUUUUUCUUAUUUUUAUUAUACUCUAAAUGGUUUUAAAAAUUCUAAAAAUUAGUUUUAGGGAUGGUUGAGUUAAGUCAACCAUCUCUGAAAAUUGAUUUUUAGGAGUGUUUGUCUUAAGAGAACCGUCUCUCAAAAUCACUUAUUUUUACAAUUGGUGGCAUUGUACGGUUUUUAAACCGCUUCUGAAAAUCGAUUUUAACUACCUCUAAAAGUCUUUUUUUACUAGUGAUUAUUACUCUCUAUACAAUCCGGUAGACCAUGCUAGUAUUGUGAUCCGCUUCUAGAUUUGACUUGGAAGGUAUUAUUUCCUAGGUAUUCAUUCCUUAGCUAAUUGCAUAUACAUGGUUAUUCUCUCCUCUUUCCAAUCUAUCAAUCCAUUUGAAGAGAAGACAAAUAUUCAUCUCCCUCACAUCUAUGAAACUAGUCCUACAAAAUCAUUUGGUUUAUCCAAUGCAUCCCACUUAACCAUAUGGUACUUCUUUUUUCCCAUAUCAUUGCCAAAAGAACUGAGAUCUAGCUGAAUGUAAUUGUUGAUAUGGCCCCCUUCAUACAAUUGAUACACACCCAUUGCAUACAUAGACACACUUGACGGGUAUGAUUCAAUUAGUAUCGUCUUCUCUCUUGAAGAUAGAGUGUCGCCUUUCCAGGUUCCCAACAUUUUAAAGAUUUGCUCAUUUACACAAUUUAAUUGGGCCUUAGUAAGUUUAACACAUUGCUCAUUUGGAGCCCCAAGUAUUUGAUAGGUAAUUGGGGAAGAUUUGUUGUUUAGAAGAUUCACCACUCUAGUUUGUUCCUCAACUUCCACUCCCAUCCCACACUUUACUUUUUUCAUAGUUCAUCUGCAUACCUAACAUUGUUUUGUAACACAUCAAAAUUCUAAUGUCAUUGUCUGUUAGUUCCCAAAAAAUUGUAUCAUCGGUGUAUUGAAAAUGUGUGAGACCAAGUGUGAGACCAGACCUGUUAAAUGCCCAUUCCUUUGUGCACUAGACAACAUAACAGAUAUGGCAUCACUGACUAAAUUGAACAAUAGAGGUGAUAAGGAAUCACCCUAUCCUAUUUUAUGGCUUCUAAAGUGGUAGAUGCAGAUUCAUGCAAGAUACUUAUACCUAGAAAACUCAUUUUGGUUCAUUUGACGAUGUUGACAACCAAGCUUGUUGUGGUGACGUUGCAUCUAACCUCUUUAUUGUUCAUUGCACACUCCCUCGCUCGCAUGCUCAACACUACAUGCAUGCUCUACCAUAGAUGUGAACUCCUUAAAAAACAAGAUUAUUUUGUGAUAGAUAUAGUAAUAGUUAACCAAAAACCUUAAGAUCAUAUAAGAGGUCAAAAACACACUAUUAACAAAUAUUUUGUAGGUGAAGGAAAGAAAUCUAGCCUCUAAAAAUUCAUAAUAAACACCAUUGCUUUUUUCUGUGCUGAGAAAAAAGGCAUCUGGACUACCCACUUUUGCACCGACAGUUUCUCCUCCCAUUCUACGCUUUCAUACCUCAUCGAUAGGGCAAAGAAGCAUGCAACCAGGUUCUUUUAAUAGUCACCUAACACAUCAAGUGACCUAUCAACCAUGCCAAAGGUGUUUUGGCCUUCUUCGUUUGUCUCAAUCUUGAAUCAUUGUGUUUUAGUGCUAUAUUGUAGCAACAAGUCACGUUAAUAGGGUCGGGUGGUCUCCUAACCACAUUCAUGGAAGAUGAUCUUUGCACCUACUAUAAUCUUUCUUCCUUGACCAUGCUAUUGAGGAAAGGUCAUUAUACAAACCUAGCCUUGUCUUAUUGUCCUCCUCACACUUAUACUAUUAAUAUAUCUUUGUGGUGUUGAUUAUUUAUUUGUAUCCUUCAUGUUGCAUCUUGUUACGAAUUUAACCUUAUUUGGAUUAGUUGGUAAUAUUUAGAUACUUGAAAAUUUAAUGUCAUAAUCUUAAAAUUGAUUCUAUUUUAAAGUUCCAAAACUACAGAAUACUUCAAAGUGAAAUAGUACAACAAUGUAAUGUGUGACACGCCACCCUCUAGAGGAACAAUUUGCAUACAUGUGUGCACAUUUUAGGAUCAAUUUGUACGUGGGAGUCUUGCAUUUCCUUACUGACGGAUAUAUGCCUAUGUAAUUUACAUCUUCUACUUCUCUAAUCUGUAUAAUGUCAUCAAUAUGUAAUAGAGUAUAAGUCCCACAACCAAACAUUAAAAUGAUGAAAUAAUAUAAAAAUAGGGCAAGUAAUAAAAUCCAGUGCAUAGCUGAGAAUAAAUAAAUAAGCUCAAUGUAAUGUUGAUUUUGACAUACCCGAUACACCAUACUAAGUAAAAUGCUACAAUGAAACAAGACACAUACAUUUGAAAGUACCACGCAUAUUUCAUGAUAACAAAGUUGCUCACACUCUAGCAUAAGAGAAUACUAUGAUGCUUAACUGACAUAUAUAGGAUGAACUAAUAGGCCACCAUGCAACGUGGCGUACUAGAUGGUGAUAAAACCUAGUUCAUGUCCAUGUUCAUCAUCCACUGAGUAUCAAGAAGAUCUCCCAGCUUAUCACUAGUCCAGUCCAAGUGGCCCCUAUCUGCCUCCAUGGUCGGAGCCACUAAAGAACUACUAGUUCCCAUUUGCUCUUGUUGUUGGCCAAUAGCCAAGGUGGGCAUCUGGAUAUUGUUACUACUUCCAUGGCCAGUGUGGUAUUGGACUGAUGACCAAGCAUGGGCAUUGUUUAUGGAAGUAGGAUGUCCACAAAAGCUAUAGUGAUUUGUGUUGUAGACACCUCCACCAGAGGUGGCCCCCUCCCAGGCAGAAGCAUUUGUUUGCGGCAAGGGCUCAAAAUCAUAAAGUCCAAUGUCAUUGAUGCUAUAACGCUGCUUCUUGGUGCCAUUUUCUUUCCUAAGGAAGUACUUUUGUGCAUGGCUAGAAACCUGCACUGGUGUCUUGGAGGUAACAAAGUGCCUAGAGAUGUUCUUCCAAUUUCCGCGCCCGUACACAUGUAGACCACGGAGGAAUUGCCUACAAUGAGGUAGAGUUUGAAGUGAACUAAUUAGAUAUAAGUUUAGGUUCCAUUUCCCCAUAUAUUCAAGAUUCUUUGAAGAAAAAUAAUAUAUAAACACUUCAUCAUCAUAAUAAUACCUCAUAACCUAUGCUUAAUAAGGGUACUAAAACUUCAUGUGACAAGCAUUAUAAUCUAUAUGAGAUGCUUUAGGGAUCUAGCAAAUAACUAACCUAUGCUCGUCUGUGGUCCAAAACCUCCUAUUGUGCUGGCUCUCCUUUCGAGGAGUGGGCUUCCUCCGUGGAGUCUCCUUUACAUUCCUUGUGCUGAACAUCUCUUUUUGAUAACCACCAAAUGCUUCCAUGUUGCCCAUGGAUAGACCCCCCACAAACACCCCAAAGGGUUGAUUCAUGAGGUUGCUACUUGCUUCCACAUGUUGGUUGCCACUCUGCAAUGUUUGCAUCACCACCACUAUGACAUCAAUAUACAAGUCAGUUACUUGAUGCUUCUCCUUGCUAGGGAACAUUACCUGGAGCUCAUCCAUAAUUUGAUUGUGCUUCUUGUUCAUAUCACUAGCACAAUUGUUGUUGGCGUUGUCCACUUCAAUGAGAGAUUUCACCAUGCUGACCUCAGAGGCACUCCACUCUCCCUUGAACUUGGGAUCCAUGUGGUUGAGUACUAUAUAUGCAACAAUUGGUAGUUUGAGCUAAGAACAAGGGUUGUUGGGUUGUGGAGAUCGGCAAACACCAAGACUGGUAUUUAUAGGCUUCAUGUGAAUCUUUUUGUCCUAAUUUUAAUUAAUUGGACAAUUGAAUUUGAUAUAUAUUAUAUAGUAUAUCUCUACUUAUGUGACUUUUUUCUCAAAUGCAUUAAUAUUUAGUGCUAGAAAUUUGCUAUAAGCUCCGUAUACAUAUUGUCAACUUGACAACGCCAACAGUUUUCCUAUGUGCGCCCAUGUAUGUAGCCAUUGACGGGGUGACAUGUGUGGUCAUGCAUAGCCAUACCGCCACUAAAGUCAUUCAUAGGCACACAAGAUAGAAUAAUACCAGCAUCUGGUUUAGCUACUAUUAGUUGACUACAUCGUCAAUGGGAAAUUCUAAUGAUUACAAUGCUUCAUCUCACACGAGUGAUAUAUAUUUAUCUAUUAAAAUAUCUUGAUGAGCUACUGCAACAUAAAUGAUCACGAACAUUUCAAAUAUUGUAAUAAUAUAUGGAUAUCUUUUCUUGUGAUAUGGUAUUUAAUAGUUUUGUUCGGUAGAAAUGUACCAAAUGAAUAUCAGUGUAAGUAAUUUUGUUAAUUGAGAGUAUACAACUAAAUUAGUGUGUGCUUGGUUGGGUCUUCCCUGUUUUCUUGAGAAGUUAUUUCGAAUGACCUACGAAGAUAUGAAUUGCAUAUUUUCUUGAUAUGUUCAUGAUUUAUGUAUGCAUGCAAGAUAGAUUUUACUAACUAAUUUGGUAACAAUGUUUCUAUUGCGCCAUAGAUGACUCUUUGUUGAUCAGCCGCAAACCACCCGUGGUCUUUUCAUUAAAGGCUACAAGUGCUCAUAAUAAUUAGUUGACACAAAAGAGCAAGAAUUUGAGUUAACCUCAGUAAAGUGUCUUAAAUAUUCAAAAACCAUUUUAUCCUCAUAUAUUUGCACUUUCAUUUCACCUUGGGUUCAAUGAGCUCACAAACUAAUAGUAUAAAUACAAUAAGUGGAAUAACUAUAUUUAUCUUCAAAAGGAAUAUGUCCAUACAAUGAUAUUCCUAAAUAUAGCAUAUGUAGAUUGAAAUGUGAUAUACUUAAUCAGUGUCCAUGUUACACAUAAACCUACUAGUUUCCUCAAUUUAACAAAAAACAAACAACUUAGACUCAAAGGUAACUAGUCGUGGUUUGUCAAAAAAGAAGCAAGAUAUACGCAUAUAUGUGAUAAAGUUUGACUAACAAAUCAAAAUAAUGUCACAAAAUAGUGCAUAGUUAUGAUAAAAUUUUUGUUUCACCAUGGAUCAAAUUGAUGAUGGACCUUGGGUGUUGACCAUUUACGACGAACUAUGAUGUUACCACAAAUAUUGUCAUUGAACACCACAUAAUAUCGUCAUAGAUUACAUGCGUCGCUCGCAUUACUCAUCAAUAAUGCUUUAUUUUUGAACCAAAAUGAAUACGACUUCGACACUAAACCAAUUACUCAUAUGUGAUGCUCUAUUUUCAAACUCCAUCAUUAAACCAUUUAUAAAGACAAAAGUGUUAAAAUAUCUAUCUUUUUAAUAAUGGUUUCUAGAAACUAAAAGAACGCAAAAGAAUUAAGUGUCUCUUAAGACUUAAAUCAUAACUUUUAGCUCACACAAUGUUUGGCAACCACCUCAGUAUACACUCACUUUUGAGUAUAUAUAUAUGAUGCAAUCUUUUCAUAUGGACAUUUUAUAACAUUAUAUUUGAUAUUUUGACUACUAAAUGAACAUAACUAAAAAUGUUUUAGCUAUAAAAGUUUUAAAUCAGUAGUACAACUUUGAUAUAGGAUGUGUCUCGUCCAAAAUUGUUUGGAAACAUUUAAAACUUGAUUCUCAAAUUGUAUGAAUUUAAAUAAACAUUCAAGACUCCAAGCAACUUCAAAUAAAAACAUAUCAAUAAUAAAAUAAUGGGAUUAAGUUGGCCUCUAAAUUUGGUAUGAACCAUAUGAACAUUCAAGGUUGGUUGAAAACUUAAAAUUUUCUAAUACGUGAACUUAAAAUAAUAUUUGGGACACUAAAUGGUUUCAUAUCAAAAUCUUUUCAACUAAAAAUUUAUAGACUGCGUGAAUACCUACAAUUUUAAUAUAAAGUUUGUCUUCAUUCAACUUUAUAUAGAAAUUUUAUAAAUUAUUUUUAAGCAACUUCAAAAAAAAUUAGAAAAAUGGUAUGCGGCGUGUAAUUGUAGGCCUACCUUGCGAGGCCCAUCAUGCUACGUAUUUGUUGGUCCACCAUAUCAUUUACAUCAAACAUAAAAAACCCCAAAAAUAAGCAUAGAUGUUUCUCAAGGCUAAAUCCUCAACCUUCCACUUACACUACACCUUCAUAUUACUGUACUACACAUUCAUUUAUGAUUAUAUAUAGUAUGCUAUCAUUAUGUAUAAAAAUUUUAUAAUCCUGUAUUGAAUAUUUUAGCUACUCAAUACACCUAAAUGUUUUUUGAUUUAAAUCUACUCAAAUAGUGCAUCUUCGGUCUAAGAUGUGUCUCUAUCCAAUACUGCUUAAAAUUUCAAAAUUUAAAUAUUAAAAUGCGUGAAUGUAAAAUAAAUAUUUGAUAAUCUAAAUAACUUCAUAUAAAAAUCUUAUCAACAACAAACUCAUAGAUUAGGUUGGCCUCUACAACUUUCGGUUUAACCAUGUAAUACCCGAUUUUAAGGACAAAACCAGAUAUGCACCAUAUGUGAGUUUUAGAAGCCAAGACUCACAUAUAGCUACAAAUAAGGGGUAAUAUCAAAAGACAAUGCAUAAUUAUAUAACGUACAUAAUAUAAAAGAGAUAACCUUUAGCAAACAGCGGAUAGACAUCUCCAAACUUCGGGUAUUAACUUCACUCUACAGGAUCCAACUGACUGGUUGAUCACAAGCCUAAACUUCUCCUGAGGUUUGGGGAAAAUAGCAAGAGUGAGUCCAUGUCGAACUCCACAAGUAUAGCAACUAGAUUGUAUAACUUCCACAAUCUCAUGACCAAUGUGACAUAAAUAAUGUAAAGCAUUAAACAAUAAACAAUGAGCAUAUUUAACACACAAGAUUCAUCACCCUUAAUGUAGAUGUCCCCAAGGCCGCUCCUGACCGUGAGCUCGGCUAGUAUACUAGUUUUAACACUCUGCAGAGGUUGUACAUCUUUACCCAUGAGUCAUGAUUUACCCUUUCGCCCGAGGCCCGUCGACCUCUUAACCCACUACCAAGGAAGGUCGGCAGGGAUCACUAUGAAGCCUUUCAAAAGUUCGUCUAACAUGUUAGGGCCGCAAGGUUUCCUUUGCGAGCAGAUAUAGAUACCCCCCUUCCGAAUGGCACAAUGACGCGCAGCCUAUACACAUAGGGACAGGGGCUCGCACUAUACCCGUGUCGGUUCAGCCCCUCUAGCGCCCUUUCGGGUAACCUCUAACAAGCUAGAAAAGGUCUUCAUACUGAGCUAAAGCCAGAGCCAUUAUAGCCCUCAUGGUUGCACUGUUGUCCCGGGUGAUCACGUACAGACAAAUCAUCAAGUGGCUAAAAAGUCAUUUUUAUCAUUUAUUACUUAACAUUAAUCUAGUCACAGGAUCAUGGUCACAGAAAUAAAACCCAAAUGCUAUACUUGCCUUAAUCCAAUUGCUCUUGCUUAUCCUUUUGGUCCUGUUGGUCUCACAUAUCCAAAACUCUGAUCUUGAUCACCAAAAACUGCUCUCCGUCUAAACUCGAUCAUCGAUCACACAAACAAUCGAAGAAAACAUACACGAAGCAAACAAGGCUACAAUUAGAACAGUACACCAAACAUAUAAAAACAGUAUGAAAAGUUUAUAAAAUGAUUCUACGUAUCACUACAAUUUCAUCGACGUAAAGAUCACUUAAAUCGGAUUUGAAACGGAGAAGUUAUGAAUUUUCUAAGAUUUUAUAUAGAAAAGUAAUUAAUUAAAUGGGAUCACGAAAUUAAAAGGUUUCAAACUGAGAAAACAGUGUUACAGAAAACAGUGUUACUAACAUGUAGAGCUCAUGAAAACGAACCUAACGCAAUUUAAACAGUUCAAAUCGGAGAUAAAAUAAGUAUUUUAUGUCUAAGACAAACUAGUGUAUUUUCUUUGUAUUUCUAGAUUUGUUUUUCUAAAGAAAAACGUCCACAAAACAUAGUGAUGUCAUCAUGUGAUCAUCAUGACAUGAGCACAACUGUUGAUUAAUUAAACAAUAGAUAGACAAGAUGAUCUGUAGACUGACCUUAAUUUAAUAUGUAUAAUUGUUGUCAAGGCGACGGUGUUUAAGAAUCAAUCGAUCGUUAGUUGCAUCCGUUGCACUUGAAGUUUCUCGGUAUGCAGAUAGACAUGCAUGGUGGAAGCGAGGUAGCAAAUUGCAGGCUGCGGCUGAUAAAAUCAAGCACUGAAUUGCUCAGGCUAACUAGAUACAGCAGAGAAAGAAAUUGUAACCAUAUAAAUGUUCAGUGCUCACCAAUGCCAAACAAGGAUCGACUGCCAAGGUUAUGCACGGGAUGGUGAAUCAUAGACUGGAUCUCGAUGUCACGACAGACGGUGAUUAGACUUGCGGAUGAGGAACGGCCCACGGUGUUUUCCACAGCGUAGAUGAUCAGGCCCCGGUCAUGAAUUCGGAACAGCUGCCCAACGACCUGGCGUCGGCGAUGGCUGCGGCGAAGUUCGGCAACCAUAGAAUACGAAAGACAAGAAUACAGAAUCGAAUGGUAAAAAGAUCACUUGGAUCAGGAUAAGCCUCACCUCUUCCAGCAAAGAACGACAGCACGCACAUGACUUGGUCAGGGCAGGGCUCAUGGCUCUCAAUCGUUUUAUCCAUGUUUUGCUCGGCAUCGACUUUUCAACGUCGGAAGAACUUUGGCGGCGGCUCGGGAGAAAAUAUUUUAGAUAGCUAGAUUAGAUCAAAGAGAGACACAGGCAUGCACUUAUAACGCUAGGUUAAAACCAAGUUGGAGAAGGACUAUAUUUUAUUAUUUUCGGAAUAUUUAAUUUUAGUUAUAAAGUUAAUUCUUCAAAACCUAGAAUUAUUAUUUAAGCCAAGAAAAAUACUCCAAAAGCUCCAAAAAUUCUGGAAAAAUUAUCAGAGACAUUAUGGAAGACGAAGAACCUAAAUAAAGUAUUUAGAGCUUAUAAUAAGAUAAUUUGGAACAUCUAAAAAUUAGAUUAUGCUCAUGGAAAAGGUCGGAAAAAUUCCCGAGAACUUUGGUAGAGAUUGCUUGAUGGACGAGAAACUGAAAGGAGUAACUUAGGUACGAAAGAAAGGAUUCCGAGAGACCCUGAAUGAAAUCUUGAGCUGAGAGACAAGGAAUUUGAUUGUAGAAAAAAAAAAAUAUGCCCAAGAAGGAAGAUCGAUCUAAUAAACGUAUUUUAAAUAUUUUUCUUACUAUCAACACAUAAAGGAGCAACAAGCAUCACUUCAAAACAUAUGCACCAGCAUGUAUGCAUAAUAAUAUUGCUAUGCCUUAUAAUAAAUUUUAAUUUAAUAAAAAAUAUUAUUUUUCCUAUAUUUUCAUGAGCACAAAAAUACAAAAUUAAAUAAUUUUAUCUAUAUUUCAAAAGGAAUAAAUUUUAGGGUGUUACAAACCAUAUGAACAUUCUAGAUAGCUUGAAAUUUCUAAAUUUUGAAUUUAAAAAUAUAAGUUCUGAAAACAUAUAUUUAGAACUCGAAACAACUUUUCAAGGACAAAGUUGUAAACUAUAUUGAUAACUAGAACUUUCUGUACAGUCCAUGUCUAACAUCCAAGAUUGUUUUAGAUUUCAAAAUGAGUAACUUAAAAUAAUAUUUUAGAACUCUAAAUAAUUUCAAAUCAAAGCCUUCUCAACCGCAAAGUCAUCAAUUGUGUUGAUAGCUGAAAGCCCUAAUUUGGUUUAGUUAAUUGAUGAAACCUAUUGGACUACCCCUAUGUAUAAGUGUGAUUAUGAGAUAGGUUGGUCCAAGUCCAAGUGAUGGAGCUAAAUGGCACUCAAGUGAUAGAGAUGGCCAAAAGAUGGUGACCAAGUGCUCUAACUUAGAAAAGGAGAAAGAGAAAAACAAAAUGGUGGUCAAGGCAAAGGUAUAAAUGCAAUAUAAUGUGUUAUCAGGUUUAGGAUAGAUAGUUGUACUAUUAAGAGGGAAACUGCCAUGGUGAAUAUGGUUUUCUAGUGCCACUAGGUGAAUUAACUCCAUGCAUUUGCAUUAGGACCUAGUGAGUGCUAACAACCCUUGAAAAUAUUUGUGAAAAAUGCUAACUCAUGUAUAAAAGUGUUGGAAACAUUGUGGAGUUAACACAUUUACACAAAAGUGUUUAAGUAUUGGAAGAUUUGGAGUAGCUUUGGGUACAUCAGGCGCAUUGGUGCUAGCACCACACAAAUGAUCUUUGCAUUUGAUGGCUAACCCUAGUGCAUCAGACGAUGUCACUGCAUCAGACAAACAAGUUUGUGUCAGCCUCAUGAAAUAAUUCUUUGGACAACUUUUAGUGAAGACAUUUGACAAAUGACACCAUCUAUCCAUAAGGAGUGUUCAGUAUCACUAUUCAUGCAAAGGGAGUGUGUUUCACUGUGCAUGUUGAACGUUGGGGCUUUGUCUGAUGUGAACCAUCAGAUGUGUCUAGUGUGUUUUGAGUGGCUCUUAAUGCUCUCUGGAAUGCAUCGAACACUGGGUGAUGUUUUGUCUAAUGUGACUGUUGGUAUAAAUUAAAUACACAUAAGAAAAUAAAGUAUCUGCAAGCGCACAAAUAGUAUAUCGAUGUAGCACUUCACCCAGGAGUAUUCCAGAGUAUCAUUAUUUAUAUUUUAUCACAGAGAAGACAUGUGAUACUAACUAAGUCUAUACUUAACCCCUAAGAAAUAUCAAAAAGGACAGGGAUGAUAGAGACAAUAAAGAAGGUCACUAGGGUCAUCUCGUUCUAACCUUAUAAGCUAUAUGUAUAUUACUACUUAGGCUAGGGACAUUACUCAAGAGAAAGCACCAUAUAAGAUAUCUUUAACUUAGCAACUGCGUCCUACAUGCCACUAUAGACGGGAGAUAGACUAUAUAAGAACCAACAAGGCUAUAAAGUCACCCUCAUGAACUACCACUGAUGUGAAAUGUAGGGUGCAUCUAUGAGGAACGAUAGUCUAAGCACCACGCUUAUAUCAUGUAUACUACCCUAAUCUAGGAGCUACUAAGACUAGAGCACUCAAAAGAGAGUCGUAAACCAGAUGAAUAAUAAUAACAAUGAACUUACUUGAAUUAGAAGUUGAACACUAAAAGACUUUUAGAAGCAAGCUCUAGGGCUAGUGGAACUUGAUUCCGUAGGUACAAGCCGAAGAGGUCACCGAUAGGCCGAAGCUGGAGCCCUAACUCUUCUCCAACACUCUAUCUCCCUAUUUCUAAAUAAGACUAGUCCUAAUCUCUUGUGGACUAUAAAACUAAUCCUCUCUCAAUGAUUCUUUUGAUUCUCCAGGAACUCUUGAUGUAGAAGUGGAAUUAGGGUUUCAACCUAGAGAGAAUGCUUUCAUCUGAGGGAGGGGGCUCAGUAUUUAUAGCCGGUGGAAUGAACGUGGGCCUUUGGAUCAAACCAACUUGAACAACAAUGGAGAUUAAGCCUUGAGGUCGGUUGCUACCCUAGCACCUAGGUCGGCUGACCUGGCUCAAUGCCAGGUGGGCCCCCACCUUGCAGGGUCUCGCCUCUGGUGUUAUCUAAAAUCUUCUUCUUUCGGAGUUGCAUUGGGAUAUGCUUUUUACACCGACGUCCACCAUGUCUUCUUUUAUUUUCCUAUUUAAUCUCUAAAAAACAUAGAUAUACCAAAACUUGUGAAAUUCUGUCAGUUUAACCCCUAUCUUAUGCAUAUAUUUUAUUAUGAGCAUCUAUUCAUAUUUAGAUGAUGGUUAAAAGUGACACUUAACAACCGUUAACAAGCUCCCCCACAUAUAGACUUUUAUUCGUCCUCGAGAAAAGGUUGGAUCACUGCAAACAUAACUUUAGGACAAGUUAUCAACAUAAAACUAUUCCUAGUCAAACGUGUAUUGAGAGAUUCAAUGUGUCUAUCAUAAAAUUUUAGGCGGUUGAAAAAUGGAGCAGCUUGAAACAGAUUACCUUUUUUCGGUUACUUACCUUCUCCUCCAUGUAGUACUCUCAAAUCACUUAUAUAUGUCAUACUCUUAGAUCAAGAUGUCCAUGUGUAUAUAUAUAUAUAUAUAUAUAUAUAUAUAUAUAUAUAUAUAUAUAUAUAUAUAUAUAUAUAUAUAUAUAUAUAUAUAUAUAUAUAUAUAUAUAUAGGCUAUCUCCUAAUUCUACUUUGCUCCUGAUAACAUGUCUCCUACUUUGAAAUAUUAAGAAACUUUGCUUAGAGAGUAUGGGCUAUCUCCUAAUUCUACUUUGCUCCUGAUAACAUGUCUCCUACUUUGAAAUAUUAAGAAACUUUGCUUAGAGAGUAUGGGCUAUCUUUUUCUUCUCUCUUUUUCAAUGCUUUUCUUUGGACACUUGUCCCCUUUAUUUAUUUAUUUAAUAUUUUCCUUUUUGCAUAGCCAUAUGCUUUCUUUCUACAACUAGUAAACUUUUGAGAAAGACAAUUACAAAAGCUUGGAACAUUUAUCCCUAACAAAUUUCGUUUUGUGUUUUCUCCCAGUGUAGGAAUAAAACAUUAAGUGGAUGAAAAAAGAUUUUUUUGCGUACUCCUAGUGUAGGAGCAUCAGAUAUAUGUGGGUGUAUGUGAUCUUGAUCUUAGGCGCAUGAUAAACCUCUCCACAUAGGUGAACAAGGUUUACCAAAGCUCAACACAAAACAAGUAGCUUGUGAGCUAGUUUUCAAUAUGUAAAUUAUGUACGGCUCAAGUGGGAUAAAUGUUACUACUAAUGACUAGACAUCAAGAAUUAGGUUCUCAUUAUUCUAGCUAUAUCACAUUUCAUAAUAACUUAAGUGACAAGGGGUAAUUGUCAAAAAAAAGUGACAAGGGGUCCCUAAAAUAAGUUUUCAUCAAUAGCAAGGUUUCCGCGAAAAGUAUUAUGUGGAUCUAUCCUCGAGUCAUGAUAGCAACAUAUUUUAUUUAAUAUUUAUAAUAUUUAUGAAUUUCUAAUUUAAUUCAAAACAUGGAGCAACAUAUAUAGAGAUAGAGUGUGUUUGGUUCAUACCAGACUAUAAUUUUAAUUCUAUUUUUUUUUCAAGUUUUGUAAUCGUUUGUCACGUGGUGGUGCACCUCCCCAACACUUUUCAUGUUAUUCUUCAAGCAUAGCAAAGUGGAGACAAAAGCACAAAUAUCCAAAAAUAAAGAGUAUAAUAAUAAACCAAACUUUAUUUCGCUCUUUGGUCAAAUUGACGACAAAGUGUUGGUUACAUAUACAAUUUUGUGAAGUUUGAGACUUAAGAUUUCCAAUCAAAAGAUGGAAAAGGAUGUUCGGCCAAACAAAACCCGCCCAAAACCUGUAUUUUUAUUGUAAAAAGAAAAAGAAAAAAAAAGCAAAUAAUAAAGAAACCCUCACGACUGACUAGGAGUUCUUCCAGAUCCAGCCCUUGGCUCGCAGUACACCACAGCAGACCCAGAUCUCAACGUGCCCCUUCCCUCAGAUCUCAAUUCCCAAAUGCCCUCGCCGUCGUAGCUGCACCCCGACCCCGCGCGCUCGCUCGGAUCCAUGGGCGGGCUCAGGGCAGCAUCGCCGUCGGGCGCAGGAUCCGGAGCCGUCGCGGGGGCGGGAUCCGAUCACGGGGCGCCGCGACUGGCGAUGGCGUGUGUGCUAGCGUCAGAGGCCGCCACGGUGCUCGCCGUCAUGCGCCGCAACGUCCGCUGGGCGGGCGUCCGCUACGGCGGUGGCGACGGUGGUGCGGGCGACGACGAGCACCUUGACCACCCGCUCGUCGCGGGGCUCAAGGCUCUCCGCCGCCGCGCUGCCGCGUGGGGCCACGGUCGCUGGGCGGGAGUCGAGCCGCUCCUCUACCUCCGACCCUUCCUCGAUGUCGUCCGCUCCGACGAGACUGGGGCGCCCAUCACGGGCGCCGCGCUCUCGUCGUUGCACAAGAUCCUCACCCUUGACCUCGUCGGGCCUGGCGCACCAGCCGCUGCCGAGGCCAUGGCCGCCGUCGUCGACGCCGUCACGGCCUGCCGCUUUGAGGUCACUGACCCGGCGUCUGAGGAGGCCGUCCUGGCAAGGGUCCUGCAAGUGCUGCUUGCCUGCGUGCGCAGCCGUGCAGCACCGGCGCUUGCUAACCGCCAUGUCUGCACGAUCGUCAACACAUGUUUCCGCGUCGUGCAGCAGGCUGGAACCAAGGGGGAGCUACUGCAGCGUGUCUCCCGCCAGACAAUGCAGGAGGUUAUAAGAACUGUCUUUGCCCGCCUGCCGGACAUCCAUGUCACUGUGUUGUCCGACGAGCAGGUAUGAAGCAUUGUUAUACUUGCUAUUACUUUGCUGUGCUGAUGAUCAUGUAAAAUGUUGCUAUACCAUUCCUCCCUCAGCAUAAUAACUCAACUUACUCCUACUAUGCUUGUGUACAUUGGUCUGAAGUGUAAACAAGCGAAAUGAUCUAGGGCCUUUUUUGUACUUAGUUUAACUAAUUGUUGUCAUUUGAGCAAUAUGACCACGGUGCAAAUACUGACAAUCUGACACUAAGAUCAGCUCUUAGUUUGGAAACAAGCUUUUGUUAGUAGGAACUUGGAAGGCUCAUUAUACUAAAUGAAUUUUAUUAAUUUGCUGGUAGCAUUUGUUAUGCAGGUUACUGGUUGCAAGAACCAAAAUUUGGGUGCUGAGGAGACAGAGAACGGGAAGAGUGACUAUGUAUGUUUGAACAGCUCUGGCGAUGAGGUGGGAGAUGGUUCUGGUGUCGUGCCAGACAAAGACUUGAUGGAGCCCUUUGGGGUUCCUUGUAUGGUAGAGAUAUUGCAAUUCUUGUGCUCCCUCUUGAACAUAGCAGAGGACAUUAAGGUGAACCCAAGGAUGAGUCCAAUUGACUUUGAUGAGGAUGUGCCGCUUUUUGCUCUGGGGUUGAUUAAUUCGGCUAUCGAGCUGUCGGCUUCGUCUAUACACAGACAUCAAAAACUUUUAUCAUUUGUACAGGAUGAAUUGUUCCGCAACCUAAUGCAUUUUGGCUUGUCAAUGAGCCCCCUGAUCCUGUCGACAGUGUGCAGCAUAGUUUUUACUCUCUUUUACCAUCUGCGCCAUGAACUUAAGCUGCAAAUAGAGGCUUUCUUCUCAUGUGUUAUCCUAAGAUUAGCACAGAGUAGAUAUGGAGCAAGUUAUCAGCAGCAAGAAGUUGCCCUUGAGGCUCUAAUCGAUUUUUGCCGGCAGAAAGAGUUUAUGGCUGAGAUGUAUGCAAAUAUGGACUGUGAUUUACAGUGCUCAAAUAUUUUUGAAGAGUUAGCUAACCUUCUGUCUAAGAGUGCAUUUCCUGUGAACAGUCCUUUGUCAGCUUUAAAUGUGCUUGCUUUGGAUGGUUUGGUUGCUGUCAUUCAGGCCAUGGCACAGCGGACUGAUAAUGCACCUCAACAUCAUGAUCAAACAGUGCCAGAAAUAAGUGAAUAUUUUCCUUUCUGGCAGUUGAAGUGUGAGAGCAGUAAUGAUCCUGAUCAGUGGGUUAAAUUUGUCCACCAGCAAAAAAGCAUCAAGAGAAAGCUAAUGGUUGGUGUUGAACAUUUUAAUAGGGACAAAAAGAAGGGUUUUGAGUACCUACAAGGCGUUCAUCUUUUGCCUGAAAAACUUGAUCCACACAAUGUUGCUCUGUUCUUCAGGUACACACCUGGGUUGGACAAGAAUCUUCUUGGGGAUUACCUGGGUAAUCAUGAUGAAUUCUCUAUCCGGGUCCUUCAUGAAUUUGCUAGAACCUUUGACUUUAAGGAUAUGAAUUUGGAUGCUGCCUUAAGGCUCUUCUUGGAAACUUUCCGGUUGCCUGGUGAGUCACAGAAGAUACAGAGAAUUCUUGAGGCCUUUUCUGAGCGAUAUUAUGAACAGUCACCACAAAUGUUUGUUAAUAGAGAUGCAGCUCUGGUGUUGUCAUAUUCUGUAAUCAUGCUCAAUACUGAUCAGCACAAUGUAAGGGUUAAGAAGAAGAUGACUGAGGAAGACUUUAUUAGGAACAAUCGCCGUAUAAAUGGAGGAAACGAUCUGCCAAGAGAAUUCUUGUCAGAGCUUUAUUAUUCUAUUUGCCGGAAUGAAAUCAGAACUAUUCCUGAGCAAGGAGCUGGGUGUUCUGAGAUGUCUUUCAGUCGUUGGGUUGAUCUAAUGUGGAGGUCAAAGAGAACAUCAAUGUACAUUGCUUGUGACUCCUACCCUUUCCUUGAUCAUGACAUGUUUUCCGUUAUGGCCGGACCAACAGUUGCUGCUGUUUCUGUGGUUUUUGACAAUGUUGAGCAUGAAGAGGUUCUUACAGGAUGCAUUGAUGGCUUCCUGUCGGUGGCAAAACUGGCUGCAUUCUAUCAUCUUGAUGAUGUUCUCAAUGAUCUUGUUGUGGCACUAUCUAAAUUCACCACUUUGUUGAACACUUCUUACAUUGAUGAUCCUGUAACAGCUUUCGGGGAGGAUACCAAGGCUAGAAUGGCAACAGAAGCUGUUUUCACUAUAGCAACUGCUUAUGGUGAUCAUAUACGCAGCGGAUGGAGGAACAUAAUAGAUUGUAUUUUAAGAUUGCAUAAGAUAGGACUUCUUCCUGGUUGCCUCACUGGCGAUACAACUGAUGAUCAGGAAUCCUCUUCAGAUUCAUUACCCGGCAAACUUGCUUCAUCUGCUCCUCAAGUUUUGCCAAUUAGCACUCCUCGGAAAACUUAUGGACUGAUGGGGAGGUUCAGCCAACUACUGUACUUGGAUGCUGAUGAACCAAGGUCCCAACCAACUGAGGAGCAACUCGCUGCUCAGAGGAAUGCUUCAGAGACUGUAAAGAAGUGCCAAAUAGGUACCAUCUUCACUGAGAGCAAAUUCUUGCAAGCUGAUUCACUCUCAAAUCUGGCAAGAGCCCUCAUUCAGGCAGCAGGCAGACCUCAGAAAAUCACCAGCUCACUUGAUGACGAAGGCAUAUCUGUCUUUUGCUUAGAGCUUCUAAUUACUGUCACAUUAAACAACAGAGACAGGAUUGUUCUUUUGUGGCAGGAUGUUUUUGAGCACAUAACCCAUAUUGUCCAGUCCACGGUGAUGCCCUGCAACCUGGUGGAGAAGGCUGUUUUUGGGCUCCUGCACAUCUGUCAGAGGUUGCUUCCCUAUAAGGCGAACUUGGUAGAUGAUUUGCUGAGGUCAUUGCAGCUGAUUCUGAAACUUGAUGCCCGUGUAGCUGAUGCUUACUGUGAGAACAUUACCUUGGAGGUCACACGGCUUGUCAAGGCCAAUGCGACCCAUAUCAAAUCCCAGAUGGGCUGGCGGACUAUCAUUUCCUUGCUCUGCAUCACGGCACGCCAUCCUGAUGCUUCUGAUGCAGGAUUUGAAGCCCUGGUUUUUAUCAUGUCAGAAGGAGCACACCUCUCACCUGCUAACUUCAUCCUUUCAGUGGAGGCAUCAAGGCAGUUUGCAGAAUCUCGGCUUGGGUCUGCAGAAAGAUCUAUCCAUGCUUUGAACCUAAUGGCAGACUCAGUUAACAGCCUUAUUCGAUGGUCACGAGAGGUUAGAGAAGCUGGUGGAGAGGCAGACAGAAUAUUGGAAGGAAUUGCUGAGAUGUGGCUGCGGCUAGUGCAGGCUCUACGCAAGGUGUGCAUGGAUCAAAGAGAAGAAGUGAGGAACCAUGCGUUGUUAUCGUUGCACAGAUGCUUGGUAGUUGAUGGAAUAUCAGUUAAGUCUUCAACAUGGUUGAUGGCAUUUGACAUUAUUUUCCAGUUGCUUGACGAACUGUUGGAGAUUGCUCAGAGCUACUCACCAAAGGAUUUCAGAAACAUGGAGGUGUCUCUCUUGCAUGCUGUAAAACUGUUAUGCAAGGUGUUCUUGCAGUCACUUAAAGACCUAUCAGGGCAGGGCAGUUUUGAUAAGCUGUGGUUGGAGGUCCUUGACAUGAUAGAGAAGUUCAUGAAAGUCAAAGUGAGGGGGAGGAGGACAGAGAAGCUACAAGAGGCUAUCCCAGAGUUAGUCAAGAACAUACUGAUGGUGAUGAAAGCAAGUGGGAUCCUGUCAAAAACAGGUGCCAGUGAAAACAGUAUCUGGGAAGCAACAUGGCUUCAAGUUAACAAGAUUGCGCCCUCUCUACAAUCAGAAAUUUUUCCUGACAAUGAGGAUGGCAGCACAACUCAAGUUGAAGAAAACAAAUUGGAUACACAAGCGCAAUCUGACAAGAACAAUGAUCAAUAGGACAUUAUACUUUCUUCCAUCCAAUCAAGUUAGUUGCAGCUGGAUUCUUUCAACUUUUUGUUCCAAAACCAUACACAGAUGCGUGGCAGUUCUGUAUGUGCCAUUAGGAAGAGUAAGAUGGUAUAUUGUAAUUUUCUUACUUUAUAUAUAUAAUUUUGUUAUUGACAAGGUUGUUACUUUGGGCUUUAUUGUUGCAACAGCAAAGUUGUAUGAUAAAUAUAGUGUGCUACCGGCCUUGGGGAAUCAAAGCUUUUGGCUGUUUAUUGUUAUGAUCCCAGCACCUGUGUACGGUACUACUGGGGGAAAUUGCUUAAAGCAGUAGGUGCGACCGUGUUAAGGUUUUCCCUUGCCAUUAUCUGGUGUCACAAGGCGUCCAAUACGAAUGUGCUCUUCAGUUACUUCAUAUAUAUGGGUGAUAUGCUGGAUUGCUGGUACAUAUAAAUUUAUCAUUCACCUGUGAAUGUGAAAGAGCUCAAUAAAGAUGCCCUUAUUUUCCUUUGUUUAUUAGAGGCCAGGCAGGAAGGACAAGCAGCUGAGAGCAUGCAUCUUCGUCGCUCCUGCUGCAUCUUUGGUUCUUUUGCUUUAUGUGCCUCCUGCAUUCAUAGGCUCAAAUGAACAUGCGGCGCUGUAGUCAAAAUUUGCAAACACAUUUUUCUUACUGAAAUGCUACUUGUUUUCAGAUUAAAAUAUCAGAGUGGCAAGUUCUGAACAAAUCAGAUUUGGUUUGCAAACUGAAGGAAAUCGCAUACCCUUUCAGCUUCAGUUUGCAGAAUUGGAAGGGUCCAUUUAUUCUGUGGGAAGUCUUGUAGAUAGGAAUGCUAAUAUUCAUCCAUUAGUAAAUAAUCUAGAAGUAUAUUGUUUUUCGUUCCUCAUGGCCGUGUAAAUUAAAGCUUGUUUAUGCUCUUUGGAAUAUUAGAAUUGUAGCAUGACCGCAGAACGCAGAACUUGAAAAAUGAAAUGUGCAUGAUCUCAUUGCAAUUGCUGCAUUAAUGGAUGCAGUUGCUUUCCACUCCUAUAGCAGGCAGCCUGUUUUUUUUCUCAACUCUAGCGUAUAACUCCUUGCUUUUCUUGACGGCACAUGCUCUUGCUUGUGUAAUCCAAUUACUUCCAUGAGUCCCGUGAAGCCAUUGACAGUGUAUGCCUGUAUGAGCCUAAUACCUCUGUUCUCAUUAGUCAUUACUAAAACAAGCUGGGCUGCAGCAAAGCCAGUUGCUGAAAAACCAUAGAUGUGUGGUAAUAAGCUUAUUGGCUGCUAUUCCACGAUUCAGAUGAUUUGACCUUGUAACAAAACCAUGUGACCAUAGAUGUGAGGUUUGUGCAAUCACCAGUUUAUGGAGGUGAUCAUUAGAUUGACUUUUCGUGCUCUUGCAAACCACCCCACCUUUACGUUGACUAGUGCGCGCGCGUGCGGCCGACCUCAUUUUGCCCUCCUCUCCUCCCCGGCCCUCCCGCAGCGUCUCGCGAUCGUGGGCGGCCGGGUAACCUGCGGUGGCUUGCGCAGGCACGCACACAGCAGCACGGGCCGCACACGCUAGCCCCGCCGCGUACGCUACACGUGAGCGGCUACUGACAACGGCGUCCUCCUCCGCUCCGCAACCGCACUUGCUGCACUCCGGUGCCAUGCAUAAACAGACUACUGACGUAGGCCUUGUUUAGAUCCGAAAUUUUGUUUGGAUUUCAACACGGUAGUAAUUUCGUUUUUAUUUGACAAACAUUAUUCAAUUAUAGAAUAACUCGGUUUAAAAGAUUUAUCUUACGAUUUACAGCAAACUGUGCAAUUAGUUUUUGUUUAUAUUUAAUGCUCCAUGUUUGUGCUGCAAGAUUCGAUGUGACGGAAAAUCUUUAAAAAUUUUUGGUUUUUGGUGUGAACUAAACAAGGCCGCGUUCAGUUAGCUAGAAAUAAACCUGGAAUGCGCCUAGGAACCAUUCCAGCUUGAUCAAAGUUAUACAAAUUAAAUUAGUUGAGGGCUUGUUCGAACGGUUACUACGGAAUGGUUCCUAGAACGAUUUCUACAUGAAUUUCUUAGCUAAUUUAUAUAACCUUUGAUCAUUUGUGAGUGUAUUCAUGAAGAACCGAAUAAGCCUUGAACCGUUCCGCUACAAAUCGUCCCAGAUAACCGAACAAGGCCAAUUCUUGUGUGGUGUAAUAUUGUGUAAGGAGAGUAUUGUACAACGCACAAUCUUUCAUCCUUACGAAACAUAGUAGAUAUAUACACAUCUAAUGUGGUCAGUCCUACUAGAAUUUGAAAUGCCUCUUUAGAAAGUCUCGACCAAGUUGAUUUGAUACAAGUCUUAUCUCCUCUCGUGAUAAAGUAGUCCACCGAUCAUAGCUCAUGCGUAGGAUAUCAGGGUUCGUCGUGACUGCUGUAAGUCGUAGGCAGAGCAUUAGACGUUCUUAAUACCCAGGCCUUGUUUAGUUCCAAAAUUUUUUGGGAAAUCGACAAUGUAGCAUUUUCGUUUGUUUGUGGUAAAUAUUGUCCAAUCAUGAACUAACUAGGCCUAAAAGAUUCGUCUCAUCAAUUCCGACUAAACUGUGCAAUUAGUUUUUAUUUUCGUCUAUAUUUAAUACUUCAUGCAUGCGUCUAAAGAUUCGAUGUGACGGGGAAUCUGAAAAAUUUUGCAAAAUUUUUUAGGAACUAAAUAAGCACAACUAGAUUUUUCAAUUUCUCCUAGUAAUGUGGGGUUCUCCUAGUGUUUUAGCAUUUAGAAUUUAGUAUAAACUUUCCCUAGUAAAUGCCUCCUAGUGAGGAUUUCCUAGUGUUUGACUAAUGGUAAUGUUUUGUUACUAACUAAAAACACUAGGAGAACUCCAUCAUUUUAGUAGUGAAGGCCCCACUAGCAUAAAGAAUUCAGGGGUCAGAUGUACGAGACGUCGAUGAGAAGCCUUGACGCGCCGUACGUACGUUCUGUUUUCGCAGCGCGCGGAUCGUCAGUAUAGUUCACACUUCUUCUGCAUGUUCGUUGCACGCAGCUACCAUAACAUGUGUAGCACAAUCGUAAAGGAACAGUAAUACGUCUGUGAUGAUUGAUUUCCAUGAUCUAAAGAUUAAUAACGUCUAGAGCGUUUAAUCGGUCCGCCGGCCGUCCAGUUUUUAAAUUGCUUGUGCCCGCUACCUCCUUUUUUGUUAGUAAAAUGAACGGGAUGUCUAUGUCUCAAAAGUGAAAGGGUCAGGUGAAUUGGAGUUAACACUAAUCGAGGUUGAGCAUCUUUAAGGGUUUUACAUUUGGACUUUACAUUCUUGUAAUUUGCCAAAAAUCGUAAAAAGAGGUAUCCAAUGGUUUUGCAUUUAGAGUUUAGAUUUAGGCAACUUGGCAAAUGAGAGAGCAAAUUUGGCAUAUAUGCCAAGCCGCACACGGCUUGGCAAAAGGCCGAUCACGCGCGUCUCCUAGUCCCUCGCGCGACCCAGACUUUCUUCGCGCCAUAUAUCGCGAUCGCGAGCAACACCGUCGCCGCCAUCCGCUGCAGAACUCGUGAGGGACUCCAUGGCGACACAAAACCGCCGCCUCACGCCAUGAGUUCAAGGACGCCACGAGUCUGAUACGAGUCAUCGCGGCGGCACCUGCAACGAGCGGUGGGGAGUAGGAAGAACUGGCGGCGCGACCUGUAAGGAAAACGCGAGAACCGGCGGUGACUUUACGCGUGCGAAGGAAAGUCGCGCGGGAAGACGAUCGCGAGCACGCGCGAAGGAAAAAAAUUGCGGACGUGUCCACUUUGGCUAAUUGCCAACUCAAUUAUGCAAAACCCUUAGAGAUUGCCUAUUUUUAGACUUUGUAUUUUGUUUUGGGAGUUUGCAAACAACAACAAAUGACAACUCAAUUAUGCAAAAACCCUUGGAGAUGUUCUAAGGGUCUAAGAUAAAUCUAGUCAAUGCUAUCGAAAAUGUGUAGAUAAGUUUAUCUAGUGUUUUUUAAAAGGACAACAAAAGUUUUUCCAUGAUUUUUGUUAGACGAAGAAACAAAAAAGACAAGUGUCAGCCUAGUUUUAUAAAUGAAAACUAAGCUACAAAAACUAUACAACUCUGGAGAGUGCUCCACUCAUCCUGCACAAUUUUGAUACAACUGUCAUAACUCAAACCACCACUUACAACUUGGUUGAAUCGACCCACUAACAAGAACUACCCAACUAAAAACAAAUAGGUCGGAGAAAAAGAACCAACUAAGACACUCCAACUAGAAAAGACAACUUGAAGAACCGAGCACUAUCACUCUUUGAGCAUCGAUCAGUAGAAGAGGUAGAAAAAGGGUGCCUUCAAGGAGGGCACAACAUCCAUAGACGUCGUCGUCCAAGCUUUCUCCCUAACCUUAUGCUACGUCCACAUCCGUCGCUAUCAAAGACCCACAGAGGAAGCCUGACCUAAGGAAACCAACCCAAGCAAGGGGGAGACAGGUGGCAGGGAGCCAGGGAGAAGAGGGCUGGGAUCAGAAGAUGCCCCCAGUCGCCUAGUCCACCACCAUUUCGAGCAAUCCCAGCAUCAAUCCCCGCCAUGUAGAGCCUCUAGCAACCCUCAUUACGAAUUUCCGUCAUCAGCACACAGGAUCUAGUAGGGGAACGUCGGUUUUGACCAAAGAGUCCAAGGGCGACCGACACCGCUGCAUCCAUUCUUGGCCCCACUAGGCCCGAAAGGCGCCGUGGACUAGGUUGCCACCCUGAUGCCAAUGAAGGCCGAAGAGCUCCACCCCUAACCUCUGACACAGAACGCGCGGAGGGGACGGAUUCGUGUGGGGGAUGUUGGAUCUACCUGCCCUCAAACCGGGUGCCAUCCAACCAGGAGAACCACACAAAGCACGUUGCAGGGGAUGCCCACUGCCGAAACCAGCCAGCGAGCAAGUCGAACAGGCCAACGGCGAGGGAAAAAGAAGAAGAUGGGGAGGAGAAGGGACCAGGGUGUUUCACCCACCUAUAAACAAGCAAUAUAUGUCUUUCUUCUAAAGAGGAUACAUUAAAUACAUAAUCCACUAAAUUAGAUCCUUAUUAGCAGUGCCAACUAGGUAGCAUAUGUAAAUAGAUCCUGGUUGUUCAUUCCUUUGGUAACCAAUGUGAUUCUUUGCUAAAGAGAAAUGAUCACUAUAUGUCCGAAUCGUCGUCUCGGCACAACACCUAAAAAUACCACAUCAGUGGCUCUAGUUAACUUAGACCAUCUCCAAGGAUUUUCAAAACCCACUCCGAAUCUUGUUCUUUUUUUUUGGUAAGAUUGAAUCCACACUCGAACAACUCCCAUAUAUCAACUCCCGACCUUUGACACUUGGGAAAAUUGAAUCAAUUAUGUAGAAAUAUAGGCUUUUAUCAAUCGGACAAUCCGAAGGUGGAAGGACAUGAGAAAAAUAAUAGUAAGGACAUGGUCCCUAAUAUAACUGUACACAAGAUUGAGAAAAAAAUAUAAAAGAUGUUGAGAUGAUUUCAAAAUAAUCUAGGAUAACUGAUGGAAAAUGAGUCAGAUGACGAAAGUGAUUGGAAGAACCUACAAUUGUGCUCCCACCUUUUUUAGCCACUUGGAAAUCUCAUUGAUUUAAGAAGUGAUUUUUUUUAGAAACAGUUGGAGAUGACCUUAGUUAGAAGCCUAAAUUCGAGCAUGUUGCAGUUAUUCAGCUAAAUCUGAGCAUGCCACACGGCAAUCGUGGUAGAUUAAAAUGCGAUCGGAGUUUUAAAGAUUAAGAAAAAAAAAUUCUGGCCUCGGCACCGUAGAACGAAACCCCAAGAUUCUAAGUUUACCAAUCAUCGGCAGGGCUUCCAUAUGGCACGAACUGCAAUAUUACAUAAGAUCGCAUUCUGCAACUGCCGGCUGCAGGGUCGCCAGCCGCCUACUCCAUUUCGCCUGGUGGCCAUGUGACCUUGCACCUCUAACACGGCAAGCCCGUCGUACGCGACGAGCCCAACGGCGACCCUUGAUGCCAAUUCGAUCAACCCGGCCGGCUUUCGCCUGCCUAUAAAACGCACCAGCAGUGUCGUCCACCGAUCGACCAAGAAAAACACCGACCGAACAUCCAAGUACAAGUACACCACUCGCUACUCUUGAAAAUUGUAGGUGAUCGACUAUAGCUGGUUCGAUCGAUCGAGCUGAGACGACGAUGGCCGCCGCCGUGAUCUCCAUCUCCUCAAAGGUGGCUGCACUCGCUGCACUGUUCGUGGUGCUCGCCAUGUCCGCCGAGGCGGCGAGCCCCAACGGCGGCUGGCUGGCAGCCAAGGCCACAUGGUACGGCGCGCCCAACGGCGCAGGCCCUGACGACAACGGUACGUGCCUGCGUCCCACGCACACGGUGGGUGUUACAGUACUACCAAUGCCCGUGUGCAUGUCUGACGUUGUUGUGUCUGCAGGUGGCGCGUGUGGGUUCAAGAACACCAACCAGUACCCGUACAUGUCCAUGACGUCGUGCGGCAACGAGCCGCUGUUCAAGGACGGCAAGGGCUGCGGCGCAUGCUACCAGGUAGUAGAGUCUACUCUUCUACAAAUAAAUUAGUUAACCUAGACAUAGUUAACUUGCAGUCCCUGGUCAGUUAAUUUGAUCAUCGCGGUCAACCGUAGCAGUAACCCCUUUAAUAUUCUCGUACCAAUUGAAAAUCCAUCAGAUACGGUGCCUGAAUAGCACCCACGACGCUUGCUCCGGCAGAGCGAAGCGUGUGAUCAUCACGGACAUGAACUACUACCCGGUGUCCAAGUACCACUUCGACCUGAGCGGCACGGCGUUCGGCGCCAUGGCCAAGACCGGGCUGAACGACAAGCUCCGGCACGCGGGCAUCAUCGACAUCCAGUUCAGGCGGGUGCCCUGCAACUACAAGGGCCUGAGCGUCAACUUCCGCGUCCAGGUGGGUUCCAACCCCAACUACUUCGCGGUGCUGGUGCAGUACGCGGGCAAGGACGGCGCCGUGGUGCAGCUGGACCUGAUGGAGACCAGCAAGGCCACCGGCAAGCCGACGGGGGUGUGGACGCCGAUGCGCGUGUCGUGGGGCGCCGUCUGGCGCCUCGACACCAAGCGGCCCCUGCAGCCGCCCUUCUCGCUGCGCGUUCGGAACGGCUCCGGCAAGACGCUGGUGGCCAGCAACGUCAUCCCGGCCAACUGGAAGCCGAUGACCGACUACCCCUCCAACGUCCAGUUCCCUAAUUAGCCGCACGCGCUGCAAUCGCCCAGAUCAUUGUUAUUCGAUCGUCCCAUUAUUAGUUAUAUUGCUUAAUCAUGUGUUGUCGUUCGUUCCAUUAUUUAUGUAUAUGUAAAAAAUGUGUGGUCGUUGUACGUACUACGUGUCUUGAGAUGCGUGGGAUAAUGGAGGAGGCAAUGUGAUCUCCCGCCCACGAUCGCAACAUUUGAAAUAAUAACAUGAUGUUUAUUUACGAGCUACUGAAACUUCGCGCAACAGUGUGUGCACGCACGGCGGAACAGGCUGCUUGUGCAGCAGCUAGCGGAGGCACGCAGCGUACGCUUCACGUGAGCAAUGCCACGGCUCAGGGCUACGGCCGGCCGCAUCCUCUGAUUGCGAUGUUACCUCGCGUUUCACGCAUAGCAUCACAUCUAUAGAGUAAGAUCUUUUGAAACGAAGGGAAAAAAAGAUGAAUUCUACAAGAAAAAAUUUCUAGGAAAGAACUCUAAGAAAAAAUUCUAGGAAUAAAGAAUUAGGUUGCUACAAAUCCUAUGAAAUUCCUAUGGAAUGACUUGUUUCAUAGGAAUUCUGGACAAAUUCUAUUAAUAGGUUGAAAUUGAAGGACGUUUUCUCUCAUCAAAUUAAUUACUUUGUCUUUUACUGCGCUCAAUCCAAACGUUUGAUUGUGUGAGGCCUGUACCAGAGUCAACUUCAUGGUAGCGUAGGCGUUUGGAGGUUGCUUCUGCUUAUAUUGGCACGGGUUUAUUUAAUUGUUUUCAUACAUAACUUCACAGUCAAAUUCAAUAUUUUUUGGUAGGAUUCGUGUCAGCAUGUGUCUCAUUCCAAACACAAGAAUGUAAGUGUAUUUUGUGCUUGGCUGGUUUUAAAAAAUGUGUUGUACAUAAAAAAAUGAUUUAGCUUACUACCCGAGGAAUUCACAAAGGUUUUGAAACAAGGGAGGUUGUUAUCAUGGGUUAAGGCUCUUUUCUAAGCUAAUAAAAUGUUGGCUUUAGCAUAAGAUUUUGGACACUGCUGUAGCAUCAUGAUGAGACAAAGGAGUAUUUCCAGUUAAUUAGCAAGCACAAAACUAGAGACCAUGUUGGAGCCGUUUUCUUUCCAUGGAUGAAAAAUUAAUGGGUAUUUUUUGCAUUUCUUAUUUCCUGAUUCAUCAAUGAAACUAUGUAACAAUGUAAAUGCUGUGUGCGAAGACACAAAAACGGGAAGUCACUUCUAUUUUAUAAAAAAAAGAUCCUCUUUCGCAUGUUUUAAACUUUGUUCAUUUAAUGUCCACCAACUUCUUGCAAAGCUCACACAGGGCAAGGCAAAAGCACGACAUGAUAUUGCUCAAAAAAAGCAGGACAUGAUAAAAAAGAAGGAUACUGAAACGUGCUCACAAAGCAUCCUUGAAAGAUAAGAUGUGGUUCUUCUGUAUGAUGCACAAGAUUUGUUGAAGUAUACCACAAGCCUUGAUUUAUCUUCGAUUAUGAAUUCAUUUCAAAAACAUACCCUCUUGAAUUUUGAAAGUUUUGUGCAAGGGCUAGUCCAUAUAUACAACCAAUGUCUAUAAAAGUAUUUGCAGUUCAAUAAUCAAACUAAGAACCAUGUCCAAAUUGAUUAAGAAAGACUAUUUAACCUAAGCACCAUGUUUAAUUUAAAACCUAUGGAAGUGCGAACAACACACUACAAACCAAAGCAUACUAUGGAAAAAUGAGGCAUGAUAGUAUACACUCCCUCGAGAUGAGAACAUGAAUGGUCAACCAAAUGAUCAUUGUUUUUUCCUUUUUAGUUUUUAUGCAAAACAAUGUAAAUGAGGUGGAUGAAAUUCAAUUUAAACGAGGGAUAUGCAUGAAUCUCUAGCUUUGCCUUUUGUUGACCUGGCACUAAUGAGUGGGGUCUCCCUCUUCUGCAUGGUGGUCCUUGAGGUGCUUGGGAGCGUCGAGUGUGGGUAUGAAGUUUGGUGUGCAUUUGAUCAUCGACAUGGAAAUGGCGGACCCAUGGAUUCAUGCAUGCAUCCAUCUGGACUAUUUUUUUUGAACAAAACAGGGGGGGGGAGAGAUUCCCCACCUAUAUUCAUAUCAGGCUCCAAUCGGAGCAGCAGUGGCAGCAGAAUUACAGGAUGUGAGGUAGCAGUGCCAAACAUUUAGAUUAGCUAUAGCUUGAUCACCUCUAAGACGAUUACACCAUAUUACAAGAUCAUCACAAACUUUGGAGACAAUAGAUCUACCAGUAGGAUUUUCAUUCCUAAAGACUGCAUCGUUUGUUGCAUCCCAGAGCCUCCAGAGAAUGGUCUGUAGAAUGAAGGGCCAAAGCUUGAUGUAUAAACCAGCAGGGGGGGUGAAUUCCCAAGUCUCUGCGUCUGGGAGGGAGGCAACAUCAACGAGGUGAAGCAUGCCCCAGACCUCGGCGCUUACAGGGCAGGUGAAGAAGACGUGGUGUCUGUCCUCAACACUUCUGGAGCACCGCACACAUUCUUCAUCAGCCAGGAUAUGUUUAGCAAAGAGGUUGGCCCGUGUGCUCAGUCUAUCUUUGUAGUAGAGCCAGGAGAAAAUUUUAACUUUGUUCGGCAUGCGCGUGCUCCAGAUGCGAUGGCCAUGGGCAUCCUGUGCAUCCCCCCUAGUGUCUAGGGCGACAUAGGCAGCUCUAGCGGUGUAUCUCUUCCCAUUGAGCUUCAUGAGUCUAAUAUCUGAGGCGUCAUCCAGUGUCAAUCCCUAUAGGCAAAGAAGGAGGGCGGCAAGCUAGGAGCUCGCAGCGUUAGUAAGCCUAGGUCGUAAGCACAAGUCAAAACCCGUUUGGAAAAUGUUUCGAACUGAGAUGUGAGGCCGGGUAGUAUGAGAGAAGAGUGCAGCAUGGGAUAGGUAUAGGGGGCCAUCCAACAGCUAAUGAUCAUACCAGAACGAGGUGGAGGCACCGUUGUGAAUAGGAACAUAAGUGAGGAAGCGAUAUGUGGAGAGUUCAUCAUUAACAAUCUUCUAGAGAUACCCGUCGGCCCCAGCUGCGGAGGUAUCUAAGGACUCAGCCUCAUGAAGGAUCCAAUUUUUCCACGAAGCAUCCUCACUGGAAAACAACUUGUCAAUGAAUUUCAUGAGCAGGCAAUGAUUUUGGAGCUCAAGGUCCUUCACGCCAAUCCCCCAUGGGUUUUGCUAGCACAGAUGUUAUCCCAGGCAACCAAGCAUUUAGAACCAUGGCAGGUAUCUUCACGAGUCUAGAAGAAAGCGCGGCGCCGGUGAUCAAUAGCUUUAAUCACAGUUUUAGAGAUAGACAUAGCCGACAUAUAGUGAAGGGGGAUGGAGCUAAGGACAACAGACGAGAGAACAAGCCAGCCAGCUCUAUUGAGGAGAGCAGCACUCCAACCGGAAAGGUGCUUGUCCACCGAAGAGAUGAGAGGCAGACAAUCAGAGACAUUGAGCUUGCUGGGGGAAAGUGGAAGGCCAAGAUAAACCUGUGGGAAGGUGGAGACAGUGGUACCCAAGUUGGCGGCCACAUCAUUAGCCAACUCAUCAGGGACAACAACUGGCAAGAAUAUAGUUUUGUGGUAGUUAAUAGACAGCCCAGUCGCAUCUUCAAAAACCUUCAGAAUUUGUUUUGUCUAUUGAAUAGCAUCCGGAGAGCAUCGAAGGAAGAUAAGUGUGUCAUCGGCGUACUGAAGGACAGGGCAAGGAGCAUUGGGAAUGAGCGGGUGGUGGAGACUGGUAGCAAGGGAGGAGUGAUGGAGGAGACGGUGGAGAACAUCUGCCACAAUAAUGAAGAGAUAAAGGGGACAAAGGGUUCCCCUGACGAAGCCUAUUUUAGCAAUUGAUCCAUCUCCCAGGAACCCCAUUAAGGAGGACUGACGUUUUACCGGCGACAAGUAGAGUGUGGAUCCGGUGACACCAGGUGACAGAGAACCCCCUGGUACGGAGAAUUUGGAUCAUGCUAUCCCAGUUGACACAGUUGAAAGCUUUAUGGAAAUCGAGCUUGAGGAUCAGUGUAGGAGCGUUAUGACGGUAGCAGCAGUGGAGGAGGUCGGCGGCAUAGGCAAAACUAUCAGCGAUGCAGCGCCCGAGGACGAAGCCGGUCUGGUCAUUGCGACCAAGAGAGAAAUCAUAGGCUGGAGCCUGGUGGUGAGAACUUUGGAUAGGCUCUUGACAGUGGUGUUCUGAAGGGCAAUGGGGCGGAUGUCCCCCGGCUCCGGAGGGUUACUUUUUUUGGGAGGAGAACAAGGUAGAAUCUGUUAAUCCGUUCAAGAUCAGCAGUGUGGUCAUGAAAACCCUAAAAGAGAUCAAUCAUGCUGACGGAGGUGAUCGACCAUGUUGCUUUAAAGAAAGAGGGGCCAAAGCCAUCUGGUCCCAGACUAGUAGUAGAACGCAUGGAGAGAACAACUUUUUUGAUCUCAGCGCUAGUGAAGGGGCUAUCAAGUUCAUCGAGGGGGAGAGGCCCAUCCGGAUACAGAGUGCUCAGCUGGAAGAUCCAAUCAGUUUCACAGACACAACCCACAAGAUUAUGGUAGAACGAAUGUAAGAUAUUCGCCUUCUGGCCAUGAUUAUGGUAUUCACGUCCAUCGUGCUCAACAACUUGAAUUCUAUUCAUGCGCCUUCUCUGAUUAGCACAGACGUGGAAAUAGCGGGUGUUUUCAUCACCACAGAUAGCAGCUCUAACUUUACUUUGUUGAUUCCAAAAAGAAAGCUUGGCAUGUGAAACUCUACUCAGGAGGUUUACAAUAAUGCACCUCAGAUUAGCUUCUGCCUGCCGAAGGGCACGGUGUUCUUCAACGAAGUUGAGAAGGUUGAUGACAAUUCGGUAAUCAGUCUCUUGUUGAGAGAUGUGGGGAAAAGAUUUUCGCCAAGCUCCGAUAGUAGAGCGCGUUGCUUUGAGCCUGCUGGCAAGAAGGGCAGCAGGCACUACUACAAAAUUUAUUAACCGUGACCUUUCAAAGUGUCUUUCGGAGGCGGGCAGGGUUUGCAACCGUCUUGGUUAAUGGUAGUCAUUAACCGAGGCGGUUAUUUGUUAUUAACCGAGGCGGGCAUUUUUAACCGCCUUGAAAAAUCAAUUUAUGGAGGCAGGCGCUUUAAAACAACCGCCUCCAAAAAUAUCUUAUUUUCAGAGAUGGUUGUGUAAUGAUCCUGCCUCCAAAAUUUUGUUUUCGGAGGCGGACGUGCUAUAAUGCCCGUCACCUAAAAAGACUGAGGUCCAGUGAGCCCAGUCGAGCCCGAUAACUGUGUACGUAUAUAUACAGAAACUUAGGGUUUUGGGACUGUCCUCCUCCCUCUCCCUCACACUUCCUACCCAUUCUCCAUCUCUCUCACCCACUCCCACUCAGAUUCAGCCGAGGCAAGGGCCUAGGCGCAAGCGGCACGAGGCUCCUGUGGUGGCAUGGGGUGAGCUGCGCGAGGAGCCCAUGACGGCACAAGGCGUCCGCGGUGGCGCGAGGCGAGCCAUGCGAUGCGAGCGGCCGCGCGAUGUGAGCCGUGCGAGGCGCUAGCGGUGGUGUGAGGCGAGCCGCGAGAGGAGAGCCCAUAUCCACGUGCUUGCCUUCACCUGCUUCCUCUUCUCCAGCCUCAUCGCGCUCUGCCUCAAGCAGCUCGUCCGCACAUACCCGCCCCACCGCCGCGCCCUCCAACUCCGACGCGGGUCCCUCUGGUGGCGGUGCCCCUCCCUCUAGAUCUCGCACGGCGCGGCGUGGACAGCAUGGUUCUGGUGGCCGGGGGGCAGAUCCAUGCGGGGGCGACGCGGUCGCCUCCUCUUCCUCCGGCGUGGCGGCGUGCACGAGAGCCCAGACGAGCUGCGGCGGCGGUGGGUUGUGGAUGGGCUUAGCGGGCCCAUGGAUGGGUUUGCUGGGCUUGUCCAUGGGUUUUGUUUUUUUUUGUUUUUUAUAUCGAUUAACAGUGGCGAGCAGGUAACCACCUUGGAAAAGGUCUUAUUUACUAUGACCUUUAGUUCGAGGCGGUUGGUCUGCCCGCCUUGGUUAAGCACUUUUGCCUGUUUUGGUUAAAAAAUAUUGUAGUAGUGAGCGUUAUUGUUCUCGGUCCGACAACACCAGGCAGUGGUCACGACAUCAUGAAAACCUGGGGAAUGGAUCCAAAAGUUUUCAAUGCGGAAGACCGUGGAUUUAGGAAUGGUAGUGGAGAUUUCAACUUUGAGGGGAACAUGAUCAGAGGUGCUUCUGGUAAGGGAUGAGAGGACUGUGUUGGGAAGGCGCUCGUCCCAGCAAAGGUUAACAAAGGCUAUAUCCAACCUCUCUAGCAUCGGGUUAGCCCUCCUAUUGGACCAGGUGAAGUUCCUGUCCAGAAGUGGUAGUUCAAUGAGGCACAUAUCAUUGAUGCAGUCGUUGAAGGACUUAGCUUCAGAGAAGUGGAAAUUGUUCUUGUUCUUUUCAUGAGCAUAGCGAAUCAUAUUAAAAUCACCACAUAGCAUCCAAGGAGUGCCAUCAGGAGGAGUGAUCAUUCUAAGUUCAUCCAAAAACUCAGGUCUACAUUCCGGGGUGGAGGGUGCAUACACGUUGGUGAUAAGGAAGGAUAGGUUAGUUGCAGUGGAUGACAAAAAACAGACACCGUAUGAGCAGUGGUGGAGGUGGUCAUCGCGGUGAAAAGGGAUUUAGGCCAAGCAGUGAGGAUUCCACCGGCGGCGCCAUCAGUGGGGGAGGAGAAGAAACUGUUGAGAUGGCGUGGGAGGAAGCUAGAGAGCUUAGUGGGAGUAAUGUUGGAUAGCUUUGUUUCUUGGAGGAGAACAAUAUCGGGUUUCGAGGAUAGAAGCUCCAUAAGCACAUCACCACAUUUACCAGAGUCACCUAAACCUCUCACAUUCCUACAACAAACAGUAAAAGUUCUAUUCAUGGGAAAAACUGAUACAAUGUCUUCUUCAGGUAGAGACCACGAACUACUAGCCUGGACUUUACAUUAUUCCUCAGGUUGAGGUAACCUGGGCUUCCGUCAGCUAGACUGGGAUUACAACAAGACGCUGUAGCAGGAAGGACAACUUGAACCAAAGAGAAAAACAGACCAAACAGACAUGGCAGGUGGACCCUUCGCCUAUGAGAAACAAAAUUGGAGGCCACGGGCCUCGCAGCUAGGCGAUGUACAUCAAAGGAACAGGCGGUGGGUUGCACAGGCACUGUGAUCUUGGGGGUUGUCAUCAUUCCUUCACGGCAGGCGACUCCGCCUCACCAGAGAUGGUCGCGAGCUCCUCAGUGGAGGCCCCGCAAGCAUCGGCGAUCUCGUACAGGGACUCGUUAUCACCUCAGGGAUAAAAAGGAUCAGAUAGGAGAUAAGAUCUAGAGAUAGCAGUGCGAAUUCGGUGAGACGCACCCGUGAAGUCAAACUUAGCCUGCUGGACCCGAGUGGCCUUGUCCUCCGGGAGCUCGAAGCAGGGGUCGUCCUUGGCCAAGAGCCUGGAGCUCCUGCGCAGCUUGCGGGCAGUGUCCUUGGCCCGCUUGCGUCUAGCACUCCUCUUCUAGGCGCGGCUCUCGUGUUCCUCCUCCGUGUGCCCACCAGCAGAGAAAGUGGUGGGGGCACAUCCAGGCUCAAGUGAGACAAGGCAGCAGCAGCUUCUUCUUCAUCAACAGUUGGAGCAGGGACGUGCUCCUCACCUGCGGUGUAGUCAUGAUCUGGAACACCACCAACACCAUACCAUGGCAGAGCGAGCAUAGGAUGGUUGUGCUGGGUAGUAGGGUUGGAGUUAGUAUUGGCGGCUGCAGGGUGGGGGGUGGGACGUCUGGUGGUGACUGGGUGAAGUCGUGGAGUGGUGGUGGGGAGUUCCCACUCGAGGAUAGUGGCAGCGAGGUUAUGCGGUGCAGCAGGCAUCUGAGUAGGUGCAUUGCCAAUGGGGUGGUAAUCUGGUGGGGUGUGGAUAGUGGGGUGGGGACCGAAAGUGUGGUCGGUGAAAUCUGGCAAGGGUGGAGCAUCGACCCAGGUAAAAAUGAUGUGGAUCUUAGCAAUGGCAGCAGGCCCGCUAUGGUUGCGCACUAGGAGCUGUUCAGGAACUUCAUGAUCAUGGUCAAGGCGAACCACAACACGCAUGGAAGUGAAAUCAACAUCAUGAAGGCAAUCGGGGUCAAUACAACAAACAUUACCGAUUGCGCUCAGAGCCUCCCUGGCUAGAGACUCGGUCCAGUGCUCGAGGGGGAAGUCGACUGCGGCUAUCUCGGCAUAGACGCUGUAGAAGGCGUAGAAGCGGUUGUCAGCUUCCUCGUGCCACUCCACCGUGAUGGUGUUGCCCUCAAAGGUGAGGGGGACUCGGCCACCACCUGCUCCCUCGCCUCUGGGCUGCCGAACACCAUGAUUCCUAUGCCGUGAGCGGAGGCCGCGAGGUGGAAGGCCGGGGCCCCGCAGACGUUCUGCAUCGCCUGCUUGAUGAAGAGGUGGGGGCUGUGGACCGCCUGUUCGAUGUACACGUAGGCAUACACCCUGGACGCCUCGUACUCGCCAUUGCAGACAUGGGCCUCCACCAUGCCCCUCCGAGCAGGGACCUGGCACGAAGACUCAACCCUAGGAGAUGGGGGUGGGGCAAGCGGCUUAGGGAGAUCGGCUUGGUCAUAGGGAGUGAUGGUGGGGUGGAAAGCAUUGGAGUGGAGGAGGGUGGUUGCAUCGGCGAUCAUGGUGGAGGUGGUGGGGGAGCGCAAUGGGGGGGCGAUCUUUGGUAGAGUGGUAAGACUCGGAGGUGGUACUGGAUCCGGCAGACAUAUUGCGAGUGUAAGCGGCUUUGCAGUGAAAACGUUUGUGACCAGACCGAUAGCACCGGGAGCAUUUUAUAGGGUCCCGACACGCAGAGACGAAAUGGUCUGAAGCGAGACAUCUGAAGCAUCUCUUCAACGCAACCUUUUUUUGCCUCUCAGGAAUAGAGUGUUUUGCCGAGACAGGGAUCGUUGAUCAACUUUGGGAGCCGGAGCAUUGUCGACGCCGGCGAGGUGAGUACGUGUCUGCAGGAGUUGGCACUUGGUAGAAGUGUUGAUGUGGUGGAAGCGGGGGUGAUCACCAGCGGUGGUAAAAGGAGGUGAGUAAGCACAUUUGUCACAAUCACUCGCCAGACAAUAGGCCUGCAUAGUAGGAGGAUGUAGCUGGAAAGAGGCAGGAUGAGUGGGGUUACAGUGAGGAGCGACAUUAAGGAGGUUCUCUGGCACAGAAACAGUGACUGAUCUCAUCUCGCCGUGGUCUUCUAGGUCGCCGUUCAGGCGCUCCAACUUGGCCCAAGCAGAGAAAACAUGCUCAUAAGCUCAUCCCACCAGUGAUAAAAUGUACGUUAGUUGUGAUCAAUAGUUCGGAUGGAUUAGUCACUCUAGAAUAUAUGUAUUUGGCCUUUUAUUCCAUAUUAGGAAUGUGGGUUAUGUUUAUAAUUUAUCUUAAAAGUACACUUUGUUGGUGGUAAAUGUGGUGUAUAACGACCGUCAAUAAUAUUGCCUAAUUGCUUUGAUGUGGUUAGGUCGGUUGAGGAUAGGGCGAAACCUUGUACAGUGACACCUAGAGCCAUUGCUAAUUUCUCCUUGGAGGUAUCCAUUGUGUCCUACCUUGCUUGUGUUCUUUGAGUGAAAACCUACCAUUCAUGGGUGUGCGAUUACAGUGCCAUUGGCAUCGUGAUUUUCCUGAAGACGUUAUCGUAAAAAUCUAGCAGUGGACUUAGGACCUCUUUGAUAGCGACAGAACCCUUUUGUGGCCUAUGGGAAGGCGAAACUGCUACCUUGAUGUGUUAUUGAGCUUGACAAUGAUGACUCAAAGCCAUGUUUUUGGUUGUUGGCAAUGGUUGCCUUGGCUAAUCUUGGAGAUAGCUGUUUUUGGGACUUGGUGGCAUCUUGGUUCCCUAUCUAGGCUUUGUUUCAUACCUUAAAACAUGUUUGAGAUCCAUUGAUGUGAAGUUGGACCUGCUGUAUCGCAAGUGGCAAGCAUGGCAACUAUGACACAGACUGUGUCACCUUCUCUGUAUGUUCGUAAUGUUGCAUGACGUAGUUAGUGGUUCCAUGGUUUGUGGACCAAUUUCCCUUAUAAAUUGGGCUAAUUCUCUUCUUCUUUUUAAUAUGUGCUGAAGCAAUAUGUUUUGGAUCUUAAAAAAUGAAGAACAAUGCUCAAUGGAGAUCACAGAAGUUGACACGAUGCAAAAACUUUGCUCUAGUGAUAAACUAGAGCAUUAACUGUAGAGUUUACUGUGGUCCAACAACCAAAGUGUAUUUGAGACCAGAGAAAAAAGGAUCGCAACUUAGAGGAUUUGAAUAUCGUGGGGGAGAAAACAAAUGGAGGCCUUUGAAAAAAGGAUUGGAUCUCUAAAAUUGCUAUAUGAAAAGCCUGUAAGAUGUUUUUUACAUGCACUCAUACCACGUAUUUGUUACUCCUAUGAAUGUAUGCAUGGAUAUUUUAUCCAUAUGAACAUGUCGUCAUGUCCGACAGACUAAACUAGUAGAUCUUAUAUUGACAAAAUGACAAUAAGUAUCUUGUUGUUAAGGGGCCCAUUGUUUAUCACUAAAAGAAUAUCAUUGUUUCUCGCUGAAACAAAUUUAGAGGAAUGCAAGCAACUAUAUCAAAUUGAUCGAGGACUUGUCACUACAAAAUGGCUUAUUGCAAUAAGUCUUCCUCUAUUUGUCAAUAAAAUAAAUUGUGUAGACUACCUCCAAAUUCAUAUACAAUAAUGUAGUUGAACUACACCAACCAUUGCUGUGCUAUUACUAUCGGUUCAUAACACUAACGUACAGUGAUAGACGGGUUAUCACCACCGGUUCCUGAUGGCUUCAACCGACAGUGAGCUAAUGAUAGUCUAUUUUGCAUAAAAAGUAUGACCUUUUUAUAUGAGGUCGGAUCAAGAUAAACUUUAUAUCAAAAUUAUAGAGUUCAAAGAUAUCUAAAACUUUAUAGUUGGCAACUUUUAAAUUUGAGAUGGUUUCCAUGCUUAAAUAUUCAAUAUAAGUUCUCGAACUAGAUUUGCGAGAUGGUUAACAAUGUUGAAAAGACAAAGUUAACAUCAAAGUUGUAAUACUCGAUGAGAUCUAUAACUUUGCAGUUGCCAACUUUUCAUUCAAGAUAAUUUAGAAUAUCAAAUAUAUAAUAUAAAAUUCAAAAUUGUGUAGUUAAAAGAAUAACAUCAGUUAUAUGGUUACAAGUUUUGCGUAGCUUAGAUGAUAUGGAAGCUCGAGAGGAUUCAAUCGUAGUAAUACUUUGCACUUGAAUUCCUAUCACAAUUACGUUUUCUCUUAUUUUUCUAUUUCUACAUUUUUCCACUCCCCUAAGGAUCAGCAUGCAAGGCAAGUAGGCAACAUAUAUCAAAAGUCAGCCCCGAGUUGUGCCUUGCAUGAUCUAAUAAAGCUUCCAUAUUUAUGGACUUUUCCCGCCACGUUGCAGCUGUAGUUUGUUGCAACAACCAUGUAACAUUCUUUUAAAGGGACAAUGAUUCGGCGAGAAUGCAUAUAUAUAAAUGUUAACAGAGUAUUCAUUGUAACGCGAUAUUUGUUUUCCUGAAAUCAAAACAAGUUAACGCCGUUACUAGCUACGUGGUGGCACAUCUUUUAGCUGCACAGCGGAUGUGUGGACACGACGAAAUAACACGGCACCACGUCGGGUGCAAAGCGCCCAAAGACCUGUUGUGUUUUGAAAAUGCUGAAUGUGUGUCGCCCCUUUUUGCCUGUCUAUAUAUGCGACAUGCCGGCCUCGCCCUGCUCCGGCAAAACCCGAACACGACGACCUUGAGCUGAGAUGGCCGUCGCGAUCUCCAUCAAGGUGGCUGCACUCGUCAUCUCCGUGUUCGCCACGCAUGGCGCUCGCGCGCAGCCGAGCUACAACAACGCCUCCUCCUCCUCCGCCCGCAGAGAGUUGUACUACUCCAGCACCACCGGCGGCAGCUGGCUCCCUGCCAAGGCCACCUGGUACGGCCGGCCCAACGGCGCCGGCCCUGACAACAACGGUGUGUGUGCGCCUGGAAUGCUGUCGUGUUUUCCUUGUGUUUUAAUUUAAUCUGUGUCUUUGCUUUCAUGCACGCCUGAAUAUGAUGUCGAUCGUGGUGCUGAUCGAUAUGUUUCUUUUUGCAGGUGGCGGGUGUGGGUACAGCGGCACCAACCUGUACCCUUUCAAUUCCAUGACGUCCUGUGGCGACAGGAACGUGUUCAGGGACGGCAAGGGCUGCGGCUCAUGCUACCAGGUAUACUACUACGUGAAACAUGCAUAUAGCAGUCCUUGUUUGCUUGCGGUCGACUCGAGCGUUGUGUGUGUGUGAGUGGCGAGUGCGCACGUCUCCCUGCCGAUCGUGUUGCGUUCAGCGUUCAGAGAGGCCGGUGAACCGCGACAUGGACAUGUCUUGAUCCUGAUCUGUUUGGUUGGUCUGCUGCUGCUUCUCAGAUAAAAUGCGUGAGCAGCAACAACCCUGCCUGCUCCGGCGUGCCCCAGACGAUUAUCAUCACCGACGUGAACUACGACACCAGCCUCGGCCCCAACCGUUUCGACCUCAGCGGCACGGCGUUCGGCGCCAUGGCUAAGCCUGGCC
rnacentral:lncRNA from 1 species